rnacentral:rRNA from 1 species
AACGAACGCUGGCGGCAUGCCUAACACAUGCAAGUCGAACGAGACCUUCGGGUCUAGUGGCGCACGGGGGCGUAACGCGGGGGAACCUGCCCUUAGGUUCGGAAUAACUCCCCGAAAGGGGUGCUAAAACCGGAUAAUGCCUUCGGACCAAAGAUUUAUCGCCUUUGGAUGGGCCCGCGUUGGUUUAGCUAGUUGGUAGGGUAAAAGCCUACCAAGGCGACGAUCGAUCGCUGGUCUGAGAGGAUGAUCAGCCACACUGGGACUGAGACACGGCCCAGACUCCUACGGGAGGCAGCAGUGGGGAAUAUUGGACAAUGGGCGAAAGUCUGAUCCAGCAAUGCCGCGUGAGUGAUGAAGGCCUUAGGGUUGUAAAGCUCUUUUACCCGGGAUGAUAAUGACAGUACCGGGAGAAUAAGCUCCGGCUAACUCCGUG